GACGAACGCUGGCGGCGUGCUUAACACAUGCAAGUGGCGCGACGAACCAGGGCUUGCCCUGGGGCUAAGCCGCGAACGGGUGAGUAACACGUGAGUAAUCUGCCCCGAUGACCGGGACAACCCGAGGAAACUCGGGCUAAUACCGGAUGUGGUGCACAGGCGUAAGCCCGUGUACUAAAGGGAGCUUCGGCCUCCGCAUUGGGAGGAGCUCGCGGCCCAUUAGCUUGUUGGUGGGGUAACGGCCUACCAAGGCAACGAUGGGUAGCUGGUCUGAGAGGACGAUCAGCCACACUGGGACUGAGACACGGCCCAGACUCCUACGGGAGGGAGCAGUGGGGAAUCGUGCGCAAUGCGCGAAAGCGUGACGCAGCAACGCCGCGUGGGGGAAGACGGCCUUCGGGUUGUAAACCCCUUUCAGGAGGGACGAGGGUUCACCGGUGAAUAGCCGUGUGGAUUGACGGUACCUCCACAAGAAGCUCCGGCUAACUACGUGCCAGCCGCCGCCGUAAUAC
rnacentral:rRNA from 1 species